rnacentral:rRNA from 1 species
GACGAACGCUGGCGGCGUGCUUAACACAUGCAAGUCGAACGAGAGCGUAGAGAAAGCUUGCUUUUUCUACAAUCUAGUGGCAAACGGGUGAGUAACGCGUAAACAACCUGCCCUACGGAUGGGGACAACAGCUGGAAACGGCUGCUAAUACCGAAUACGUUCCGAAAGUCGCAUGACUAUCGGAAGAAAGGAUGGCCUCUAUUUAUAAGCUAUCGCCGGAGGAGGGGUUUGCGGCUGAUUAGCUAGUUGGAGGGGUAACGGCCCACCAAGGCGACGAUCAGUAGCCGGUCUGAGAGGAUGAACGGCCACAUUGGAACUGAGACACGGUCCAGACUCCUACGGGAGGCAGCAGUGGGGAAUCUUCCGCAAUGGGCGAAAGCCUGACGGAGCAACGCCGCGUGAGUGAAGACGGCCUUCGGGUUGUAAAGCUCUGUUAUACGGGACGAAUAAUCUUGUGGUUAAUACCCAUGAGAAGUGACGGUACCGUAAGAGAAAGCCACGGCUAACUACGUG